rnacentral:rRNA from 1 species
UACGUAGGGGGCAAGCGUUGUCCGGAAUCAUUGGGCGUAAAGCGCGUGUAGGCGGCUAUGCAAGUCGGAUGUGAAAUCCCUCGGCUCAACUGAGGAACUGCCUUUGAAACUGUCGGGCUUGAGGCCGGGAGGGGGUAGCGGAAUUCCCAGUGUAGCGGUGAAAUGCGUAGAUAUUGGGAGGAACACCAGUGGCGAAGGCGGCUACCUGGACCGGUUCUGACGCUGAUGCGCGAAAGCGUGGGUAGCAAACAGG